GACGAACGCUGGCGGCGUGCUUAACACAUGCAAGUCGAACGGAAAGGCCCUGCUUUUGUGGGGUGCUCGAGUGGCGAACGGGUGAGUAACACGCGGGUAACCUGCCCUUGACUUUGGGAUAACUUCAGGAAACUGGGGCUAAUACCGGAUAGGAGCUCCUGCUGCAUGGUGGGGGUUGGAAAGUUUCGGCGGUUGGGGAUGGACUCGCGGCUUAUCAGCUUGUUGGUGGGGUAGUGGCUUACCAAGGCUUUGACGGGUAGCCGGCCUGAGAGGGUGACCGGCCACAUUGGGACUGAGAUACGGCCCAGACUCCUACGGGAGGCAGCAGUGGGGAAUAUUGCACAAUGGGCGGAAGCCUGAUGCAGCAACGCCGCGUGCGGGAUGACGGCCUUCGGGUUGUAAACCGCUUUCGCCUGUGACGAAGCGUGAGUGACGGUAAUGGGUAAAGAAGCACCGGCUAACUACGUG
rnacentral:rRNA from 1 species